CUGGUGAUAAGCCUGAGAGGAGGGAGGCGGGUUGACGUUGAUUAGUCGCUUUGGUCGUCCAAGGGGCGCGCGUGGAAGGAAGCCUCUCAGUGAGGGGGGAGGGCUUUUAAUUCCUUUCCCUCGACGGUUCCCGGUCCCUUUCCUUGUGGGAGCGCGUGGGAAGCAGGUGUGCCGCCGUAGCCGCUCCAGGGUAGCACCGCUGCAAUGAAGCCGCUUUGGGGUCUCGGCCUCCUCUGCGUUCUCCUCCUGGCCGCCUCAGUCCAAGCUGAUGAGGUAGAUGUAGAUGGCACAGUGGAAGAUGACCUUGGUAAAAGCAGGGAAGGAUCUCGAACCGAUGAUGAAGUUGUUCAGAGGGAAGAGGAGUCUAUCAGUUAGAUGGUUUAAAUGCAUCCCAAAUCAAGCAAAUUAGAGAGAAGUCAG